rnacentral:rRNA from 1 species
UACGAAGGGGGCUAGCGUUGCUCGGAAUCACUGGGCGUAAAAGCGCACGUAGGCGGAUCGUUAAGUCAGGGGUGAAAUCCUGGAGCUCAACUCCAGAACUGCCUUUGAUACUGGCGACCUUGAGUUCGGGAGAGGUGAGUGGAACUGCGAGUGUAGAGGUGAAAUUCGUAGAUAUUCGCAAGAACACCAGUGGCGAAGGCGGCUCACUGGCC